GCCAGUGUGGCAUAAUGGUUUAAGCAUUAGACUACAGUUCUGGAGACCAGGAUUCAAAUCCCCACUCAGACA